rnacentral:rRNA from 1 species
GCAUGUUGGAUGAUGAAGAGAGGAGCUUGUAACCUGUUGGAUGAGUUGCGAACGGGUGAGUAACGCGUAGGUAACCUGCCUUGUAGCGGGGGAUAACUAUUGGAAACGAUAGCUAAUACCGCAUAACAAUGGAUGACACAUGUCAUUUAUUUGAAAGGGGCAAUUGCUCCACUACAAGAUGGACCUGCGUUGUAUUAGCUAGUAGGUGAGGUAACGGCUCACCUAGGCGACGAUACAUAGCCGACCUGAGAGGGUGAUCGGCCACACUGGGACUGAGACACGGCCCAGACUCCUACGGGAGGCAGCAGUAGGGAAUCUUCGGCAAUGGGGGCAACCCUGACCGAGCAACGCCGCGUGAGUGAAGAAGGUUUUCGGAUCGUAAAGCUCUGUUGUAAGUCAAGAACGAGUGUGAGAGUGGAAAGUUCACACUGUGACGGUAGCUUACCAGAAAGGGACGGCUAACUACGUGCCAGCAGCCGCGGUAAUACGUAGGUCCCGAGCGUUGUCCGGAUUUAUUGGGCGUAAAGCGAGCGCAGGCGGUUUGAUAAGUCUGAAGUUAAAGGCUGUGGCUCAACCAUAGUUCGCUUUGGAAACUGUCAAACUUGAGUGCAGAAGGGGAGAGUGGAAUUCCAUGUGUAGCGGUGAAAUGCGUAGAUAUAUGGAGGAACACCGGUGGCGAAAGCGGCUCUCUGGUCUGUAACUGACGCUGAGGCUCGAAAGCGUGGGGAGCGAACAGGAUUAGAUACCCUGGUAGUCCACGCCGUAAACGAUGAGUGCUAGGUGUUGGAUCCUUUCCGGGAUUCAGUGCCGCAGCUAACGCAUUAAGCACUGGUCUUGCAAUUCAGUUGGGCACUCUAGCGAGACUGCCGGUUAUGACCUGGGCUACACACGUGCU